rnacentral:rRNA from 1 species
UACGGGGGGGGCAAGCGUUGUUCGGAAUUACUGGGCGUAAAGGGCGCGUAGGCGGUUCGCUAAGUUGAAUGUGAAAACUCUGGGCUUAACCCAGAGCCUGCAUUCAAUACUGGCGGGCUAGAGUUCUGGAGGGGAUAGCGGAAUUCCUGGUGUAGCGGUGAAAUGCGUAGAUAUCAGGAGGAACACCGGUGGCGAAGGCGGCUAUCUGGACAGAGUCUGACGCUGAGGCGCGAAAGCUAGGGAGCAAACAGG